rnacentral:lncRNA from 7 species
AUGGUGGGUAGAAGUGUUUGUUUGUUGUUUGGUUGCCGUUUUUUUGGUUUUUUGUGUGUGGGGGGGAGGGGGGAAUGUCAUGUUUCCGAAAGAAGUGUAGUAUUUUGGAGAGAAAUGUUUUUUUUCGUUUGAAAGGUGGUAUUUUGUGGGAGAUGAUGCUUAACUGUGGGGCGAAAAGUAGGAUCUGGGGGAGAAAAUCCACUUCUGGGUCGGAAAGAAUAGGACAUUUUCUCCCCCAAGUACCCCUUGUCUCACCGAACAAGACUCUUUCUCCACUAAAUACCACUGCUCUCCACAAAACAUGACUUCUCGCCUGCCAAAUACAAAGCUGUUUGCUUUCCAAAAAGACGACGUUUCCUUCGCGCGCUCCCUUUUUUCUCCACAACAUGCAAAUCUCUCUCCAAAACAGGACAGUUUCUCCCCAAGCUACUUUUCUCCAGAACAUAGGGCCUUCCUUCGCGCAUCAUGCCACAUUUCUCCUGAAAAUAUACAGCUCUUCCUUGCAAAAUACCACUUUUCUCCCAAAGACAUGACCAUUUUUCUUCCCACACCAUACCACUCUUCUCCAAAACUACGAUCUCUCCUCUCAAAAACGCCACUUUUCUCCCAAAAAUACGACUGUUUCUUCCCCUCAGGACCUCUUUUCUCCUCCAUAGAUGAGACUUUCUCGACCCAAAUCUCACUUUCGUCAAGAAAAGAAGGCAUUUUCCCGACCACAAAACCACUCUUCACCCCCAAAUCAGACUUUUCUCCCCAAAACACCACUGUGCUCCCUAAAAGAAGACACUCUCUCCCCCCACAUACCACUGCCACCUUUCAAACGAAAACAAAACGUUUUCUCUCCAAAAUACUACACUUCUUUCGGAAACACGACAUUUUCUCCCCCCCCUCCCAGAAAAAAAAAACAAAAACCAAAAAACGGCAACCAAAACAACAAACCAAACACUUCUACCCACCAUUGGACUGGCAGGCAUGUGUUGGGCUUGUCUGCUGGUAG